CGCGACGCGCACAUUCAGCAUGAACGAGGCCGCCGGGGUGCAAACACCGUGAGUAAAGUGGCGACCGGGUGAGUAACACGUGACUAACCUGCCCUGAAGUGGGGAAUAACCUCGGGAAACCGGGGCUAAUACCGCAUAACGUCCGCGGGUGCAACUCCUGCGGACCAAAGGAGCAAUUCGCUUUAGGAGGGGGUCGCGGCUGAUUAGCUAGUUGGCGGGGUAACGGCCCACCAAGGCGAUGAUCCGUAGCUGGUCUGAGAGGAUGAUCAGCCACACUGGGACUGAGACACGGCCCAGACUCCUACGGGAGGCAGCAGUGGGGAAUAUUGGACAAUGGGCGCAAGCCUGAUCCAGCGAUGGCGGGUGAGUGAUGAAGGCCUUAGGGUUGUAAAGCUCUUUCGGCGGGGACGAUGAUGACGGUACCCGCAGAAGAAGCCCGGCUACUUCGUG
rnacentral:rRNA from 1 species